CACCCAUUAGUCUCAAGGUCAAGUCGGACGAGAGAAACCUGAUAAAUUUGCACAGGGACAGAUGCUCAGGGGAAAGGAAAGAGCUCUGCCUUGCACUUGUACAGAAAGGAAACAAGGCAGCAGAGGCAAGACCAAUGGAGAGUACGGCAGCAAGACAGAAAGGGGCAGAAGGCGACAGAACAUGCACGCUGGGGACAUGGAAAUUUCUAGAAAGAAGGCGCAAGCAGAAACAGGACACCGGCGAUAAAAAGUUCCCUUUGUAACCAGACCAGCUGAGACCAGUUACAAAGCCUACCCCAGGUAUCCGACCAGAUGACUUCAAAAAGACCUCAGGCUUCAUUAUAAUCUAAUUUCCAUGCUAAAUGACACUUCCACCAGUGUCAUGACGGUUGCCAGUCCCCGUGACAAUGACCAGAAGGAGCCAUAAAAGGACAAAAACAAGGGAGCCCCUCAUUCCAAGAAGUGUACCGCCCAGUUCCAGAAAAGACAUGGAUAUUCCUCCUCUUGCUUUUAAUGUCCAGCCAUCAUUAAGGAAACCCUAUAUGAUAACCCCCUCACCCCUCACUAAUUGAGAAGUUGAUUUGUGAGCCAAGCUCCCGCUUCUCAAUUCCAUGGCCAUCGAAUAAAGCCUGC
rnacentral:lncRNA from 1 species